rnacentral:miRNA from 15 species
CCUUUUCCAUCCCUGGCAUUGG